rnacentral:rRNA from 1 species
AUGGAAUGGAAUCCCGGGUAUCCAAGAAGAAGAAGAGGAAGAGGGACACGGAGAGUAGCCCGUACGUUCUCCCGGCUCUCCGACGAUCUCCUCGUCGAGAUCAUCUCGCGCGUGCCCUUCAAAUCCACCCGUUGCUGCAAGUGCGUCUGCAGGCGAUGGCGCGACGUCGUCUCCAACCCUGACCACCGCAAGAAGCUGCCUCGGUCGACCCUCGCCGGCUUCUUCUACAGAACCGGGCAUCUGUGUUGCAGAACUAUGAACCGUCAUUACAAAAGCCUAACAGGGAAGAAGUGGUGCCGCGGCAUCGACCCCGCCCUCAAGUUCCUGCCCAAAUACAGACUCUGUGACAUUCACAUUGACAUGUUGGACUGCUGCAAUGGCCUCCUGCUUUGCCGACGACAGCAGACCGAUUAUCACGGGACAACGGACUACGUGGUGUGCAAUCCGGCCACUAAGACAUGGAUUGCCGUGCCUGGCACCGACCGGUCCCGCGAGCUGCGCGUCGCUCGCCUUGGGUUCGACCCGGUCGUCUCCUCUCACUUCCGUGUACUUGAGUUUGCACCGACGGAUGAUAAUGAUACACACGUCAAGCCAUUGGGGAUCUACUCCUCAGAAGCUGGAGCCUGGACACAUCGGAGCGAUUGGAAAUGUCCAAUUGAUAUAAAUAAAUAUUCCAGUAGCGCAUUUUUCAGAGGGGUGCUAUAUUUAUCUUCCUAUGAAGAUAAGGUUGUAGCCGUCGACUUGGAGGGAAAUUGUAGGGUCAUUCAUAUUCCUACCUUACAUGAUUCUUGUAUUGCUCGUGAAGUUUAUGUAUCACAGGGACAAUUGUAUGUUGUAAUUUCUAGUGAUUCUGAACUAUCAAUGUGGGCUCUUGAAGAUUCUAGUACUGAAAAUUGGACCUUGAAGCACAAUCUCAGCCAUUUGCAAUUGUUUGGAGCAGAGGAUUCAUCUUAUGAGCAGGACUAUGAUAUUAUCAUCCACCCAGAAUGCAAUCUGAUAUUUAUACUACUUACGAGAUUCUACUCGACAUGCAGAUCAGCGACGAAACUAAUGUCAUACGACAUGGAUUCUAGGACUGUGCAUUCUAUAAGUGAUUUUGCACAUGACUGGAAGAGUCCUUAUCUUUCAUAUGUUCCCUUGUUCUCAGGUUCACUGGCUGAUGGGCAGUAG